GGGAAGUGAUGACACCUGUGACUGUUGAU
rnacentral:piRNA from 1 species